GGGAGGUCUGAUCCCAUGCCUCCUGGGAGGUGUGAUAUCAUGGUUCCUGGGAGGUAUGAUAUCGUGGUUCCU
rnacentral:pre_miRNA from 2 species